AGUGAACGCUGGCGGUAGGCCUAACACAUGCAAGUCGAACGGCAGCACAGUAAGAGCUUGCUCUUACGGGUGGCGAGUGGCGGACGGGUGAGGAAUACAUCGGAAUCUACUUUUUCGUGGGGGAUAACGUAGGCAAACUUACGCUAAUACCGCAUACGACCUACGGGUGAAAGCAGGGGAUCUUCGGACCUUGCGCGAUUGAAUGAGCCGAUGUCGGAUUAGCUAGUUGGCGGGGUAAAGGCCCACCAAGGCGACGAUCCGUAGCUGGUCUGAGAGGAUGAUCGGCCACACUGGAACUGAGACACGGUCCAGACUCCUACGGGAGGCAGCAGUGGGGAAUAUUGGACAAUGGGCGCAAGCCUGAUCCAGCCAUACCGCGUGGGUGAAGAAGGCCUUCGGGUUGUAAAGCCCUUUUGUUGGGAAAGAAAAGCAGCAGGUUAAUACCCCGCUGUUCUGACGGUACCCAAAGAAUAAGCACCGGCUAACUUCGUG
rnacentral:rRNA from 1 species